GUGCCAGCAGCCGCGGUAAUACGUAUGGUGCAAACGUUGUUCGGAAUCACUGGGCAUAAAGAGCACGUAGGCGGUCUGGUAAGUCUGUCUGUGGAAUCCCUCGGCUCAACCGAGGAACUGCAGCGGAUACUGCCGGACUGGAGUACAGGAGGGGAGAGUGGAAUUCCUGGUGGAGCGGUGAAAUGCGUAGAUAUCAGGAGGAACGCCGGUGGCGAAAGCGACUCUCUGGCCUGUUACUGACGCUGAGGUGCGAAAGCCAGGGGAGCAAACGGGAUUAGAUACCCCGGUAGUCCUGGCCCUAAACGAUGGGCACUAAGUGGAGGAGGUUCCGAUGCCUUCUCCGCUGCAGCAAAUGUGUUAAGUGCCCCGCCUGGGGAGUAUGGUCGCAAGGCUAAAACUCAAAGGAAUUGACGGGGGCUCACACAAGCGGUGGAGCACGUUGUUCAAUUCGAAGCAACGCGAAGAACCUUACCUGGGUUUGACAUGCUUGGGACCGCCUAUGAAAGUAGGCUUUCCUUCGGGACCCUUGCACAGGGUGUUGCA
rnacentral:rRNA from 1 species